rnacentral:rRNA from 1 species
GACGAACGCUGGCGGCGUGCUUAACACAUGCAAGUCGAGCGGUAAGGCCCUUUCGGGGGUACACGAGCGGCGAACGGGUGAGUAACACGUGGGUGACCUGCCCUCAGCUCUGGGAUAAGCCUGGGAAACUGGGUCUAAUACUGGAUAUGACUCCACGGCGCAUGUCGUGGGGUGGAAAGCCUUGUGCGGCUGAGGAUGGGCCCGCGGCCUAUCAGCUUGUUGGUGGGGGGAUGGCCUA